rnacentral:misc_RNA from 1 species
GAACUGCGAUAAGUAAUGUGAAUUGCAGAAUUCAGUGAAUCAUCGAGUCUUUGAACGCACAUUGCGCCCCCUGGCAUUCCGGGGGGCAUGCCUGUCCGAGCGUCAUUGCUGCCCUUCAAGCCCGGCUUGUGUGUUGGGUCGUCGUCCCCCCCGGGGGACGGGCCCGAAAGGCAGCGGCGGCACCGUGUCCGGUCCUCGAGCGUAUGGGGCUUUGUCACCCGCUCGAUUAGGGCCGGCCGGGCGCCAGCCGGCGUCUCCAACCUUAUUUUUCUCAGGUUGACCUCGGAUCAGUUAGGGAUACCCGCUGAACUUAAGC